CUUCAUAUUUUUCUCUCUUGCUUGUGUUCUAUGCGAGAAAAAAAAAGAAGGAAAACAAAAAUGGUGGUGGAAGAGGAAGAUAUGGAUGGAGAAUCAAAGCUUGAGAUUAUUUUGACACACAUCUUAUCAAAACCGUGGUUGAGUUGGAUCAAGCUGAUCAAUUGUUUGGAGUAUUGAAGCUUUGUUUUUCAUCCUAGUCCACUCGUUAUCUUCGUAAAAAGAAUGGUCUAUUUGAUUUUGUGGCGGAAAGAGACGGUUGAUAGUGAAUUAAUAAUAGUGAAUAUGAUUUUGAUUCCAUGAAGGUCAAAGGCCAAGACACGGUGGUGAGUAUAAGUCUCGGUGGUGGUUUCCAAUUCGACGGAAUUGUGCAGUGAGACGACGACGGAGCUGGUGUGGUGGUUCAAAAUAUGACUGAGAUA
rnacentral:lncRNA from 1 species